GACGAACGCUGGCGGCGUGCCUAAUACAUGCAAGUAGAACGCUGAAGGAGGAGCUUGCUUCUCUGGAUGAGUUGCGAACGGGUGAGUAACGCGUAGGUAACCUGCCUGGUAGCGGGGGAUAACUAUUGGAAACGAUAGCUAAUACCGCAUAAUAGUAGAUGUUGCAUGACAUUUGCUUAAAAGGUGCAAUUGCAUCACUACCAGAUGGACCUGCGUUGUAUUAGCUAGUUGGUGAGGUAACGGCUCACCAAGGCGACGAUACAUAGCCGACCUGAGAGGGGGAUCGGCCACACUGGGACUGGGACACGGCCCAGACUCCUACGGGAGGCAGCAGUAGGGAACCUUCGGCAAUGGACGGAAGUCUGACCGAGCAACGCCGCGUGAGUGAAGAAGGUUUUCGGAUCGUAAAGCUCUGUUGUAAGAGAAGAACGAGUGUGAGAGUGGAAAGUUCACACUGUGACGGUAUCUUACCAGAAAGGGACGGCUAACUACGUG
rnacentral:rRNA from 1 species